GCCCGCUCAGAAACUUAAAGGAAUUGACGGGGCCCGCACAAGCGGUGGAGUAUGUGGUUAAUUCGAUGCAACGCGAAGAACCUUACCUGGUCUUGACAUCCCGGAGACCCUUAGGAAACUAGGGGGUGCUUCCAUCUGGAAGAAUCUGGAGACAGGUGCUGCAUGGCUGUCGUCAGCUCGUGUCGUGAGAUGUUGGGUUAAGUCCCGCAACGAGCGCAACCCUUGCCUUUAGUUGCCAGUAGUUCGGCUGGGCACUCUAAAGGGACUGCCGGUGUUAAACCGGAGGAAGGUGGGGAUGACGUCAAGUCCUCAUGGCCUUUAUGACCAGGGCUACACACGUACUACAAUGGCCGAUACAAAGGGCAGCGACACUGCGAGGUGAAGCCAAUCCCGUAAAAUCGGUCUCAGUCCGGAUUGGAGUCUGCAACUCGACUCCAUGAAGUUGGAAUCGCUAGUAAUCGUGGAUCAGCAUGCCACGGUGAAUACGUUCCCGGGCCUU
rnacentral:rRNA from 1 species